ACGUGAGGGAGCAGGACGUGCACAAGAUGAGCGCGCACUGCAGGAGGAAGCUUCAGGCGCUCUCGACGAAGAUAGGCUCC
rnacentral:ribozyme from 1 species